rnacentral:rRNA from 1 species
AUUAUGGCUCAGAGCGAACGCNGGCGGCAUGCUUAACACAUGCAAGUCGCACGGGCAGGGGUAACUCUGUCAGUGGCGGACGGGUGAGUAACGCGUAGGAAUCUAUCCUUGGGUGGGGGACAACCACGGGAAACUGUGGCUAAUACCGCAUGAAGACUGAGGUCCAAAGGCCGAAAGGUCGCCUAAGGAGGAGCCUGCGUCCGAUUAGCUUGUUGGUGGGGUAAAGGCCUACCAAGGCUCCGAUCGGUAGCUGGUCUGAGAGGAUGAUCAGCCACACUGGGACUGAGACACGGCCCAGACUCCUACGGGAGGCAGCAGUGGGGAAUAUUGGACAAUGGGCGAAAGCCUGAUCCAGCAAUGCCGCGUGGGUGAAGAAGGUCUUCGGAUUGUAAAGCCCUUUCGACGGGGACGAUGAUGACGGUACCCGUAGAAGAAGCCCCGGCUAACUUCGUGCCAGCAGCCGCGGUAAUACGAAGGGGGCUAGCGUUGCUCGGAUUGACUGGGCGUAAAGGGCGCGUAGGCGGUUCGUACAGUCAGACGUGAAAUUCCUGGGCUCAACCUGGGGGCUGCGUUUGAUACGUGCGGGCUUGAGUUCGGAAGAGGGUCGUGGAAUUCCCAGUGUAGAGGUGAAAUUCGUAGAUAUUGGGAAGAACACCGGUGGCGAAGGCGGCGACCUGGUCCGAUACUGACGCUGAGGCGCGAAAGCGUGGGGAGCAAACAGGAUUAGAUACCCUGGUAGUCCACGCCGUAAACGAUGUGCGCUGGAUGUUGGGUGACAUAGUCACUCAGUGUCGUAGCUAACGCGAUAAGCGCACCGCCUGGGGAGUAC